GACGAACCGAGCGAACGUUGUUCGGAAUCACUGGGCUUAAAGGGCGCGUAGGCGGGCUGUCAAGUCUGGGGUGAAAUCCCGCGGCUCAACCGUGGAACUGCCUCAGAUACUGACGGUCUCGAGGGAGGUAGGGGCGAGCGGAACUGAUGGUGGAGCGGUGAAAUGCGUUGAUAUCAUUAGGAACUCCGGUGGCGAAGGCGGCUCGCUGGACCUCUUCUGACGCUGAGGCGCGAAAGCCAGGGGAGCAAACGGG
rnacentral:rRNA from 1 species